CAAAGAUGAACUGUUGAUUAUUGGUUAUACAGUUGUAUAUCUUUGGUCGUAGUGCAAAGAUGAAUUUAUUAGUUUGAUUAUGAGCAGGAAUUGUGAUUUGGUAUAACCAUGAUUUUUGAUGUUUCAGGUGAAGAUAGGUGAUGUAAAUUAUCUUCGUCCUGGGUGCGAAAAGGAAUUCAGAAUCACAAUUAUGAUUAUGAGUUAUUCAUAUAAUUGUGGAC
rnacentral:lncRNA from 1 species